AAUUUUUGACAAUGGGGGAAACGCUGAUCCAGCCAUCCCGCGUGUUUGAUGAUGGCCUUCGGGUUGUAAAGUACUUUUGGUAGAGAAGAAAAGGUAUCUCCUAAAACGAGAUACUGCUGACGGUAUCUGCAGAAUAAGUACUGGCUAACUACGUGCCAGCAGCCGCGGUAAUACGUAGGGUGCAAGCGUUAAUCGGAAUUACUGGGCGGACAGCGUGUGUAGGCGGUUCGGAAAGAAAGAUGUGAACUCCCAGGGCUCAACCUUGGAACUGCAUUUUUAACUGCCGAGCUAGAGUAUGUCAGAGGGGGGUAGAAUUCCACGUGUAGCAGUGAAAUACGUAGAUAUGUGGAGGAAUACCGAUGGCGAAGGCAGCCCCCUGGGAUAAUACUGACGCUCAGACACGAAAGCGUGGGGAGCAAACAGG
rnacentral:rRNA from 1 species